CACUCCUACGGGAGGCAGCAGUGGGGAAUAUUGGACAAUGGGCGCAAGCCUGAUCCAGCCAUGCCGCGUGAGUGAUGAAGGCCCUAGGGUUGUAAAGCUCUUUCACCGGUGAAGAUAAUGACGGUAACCGGAGAAGAAGCCCCGGCUAACUUCGUGCCAGCAGCCGCGGUAAUACGAAGGGGGCUAGCGUUGUUCGGAUUUACUGGGCGUAAAGCGCACGUAGGCGGACUAUUAAGUCAGGGGUGAAAUCCCGGGGCUCAACCACGGAACUGCCUUUGAUACUGGUAGUCUUGAGUUCGAGAGAGGUGAGUGGAAUUCCGAGUGUAGAGGUGAAAUUCGUAGAUAUUCGGAGGAACACCAGUGGCGAAGGCGGCUCACUGGCUCGAUACUGACGCUGAGGUGCGAAAGCGUGGGGAGCAAACAGGAUUAGAAACCCUGGUAGUCC
rnacentral:rRNA from 1 species